AUAAGGUAUCUACACCUGAAUAAAAUAGGGUGUAAGAAGCGAACGCAGGGAACUGAAACAUCUAAGUACCUGCAGGAAAGGACAUCAACCGAGACUAC
rnacentral:rRNA from 1 species